GUUCCUCUUCUCUUCUUCAUUCAAUUAUUUAGAGAGUAAAGAAGAAAAUCAGUUAAAAGAGAUAGAGUUUGAGCUGAAGAAAUCGUCAAGGAGUUUUUGAAUUCGACGAAAACCUUGAGUCAGUGAGAUGGCACAAGUUCAGGAAUUUCAAGUGGAUGAGCAACUUGAAGAUGUUCAGAUUGACAUCAGAAGCCUUCUGCAGAAGAAGGAUAACAAGGAUGAUGAUGAGAAGAAAGAAGACGAAAUAAGAUUGUUAGGGAUUAAGGCUUUAGAAGUUGAGAGGAUCAAAAAAGUUGAUGAUAUAAGAAACAAAGUUUUACAAUGGUUUACCAUAUUUACUUUGCUCCUUGCAGCAUAUGUUAAUUUUAUUUGCGAUGUUUAAGUAAUGCUUCUGGAUCAGAGUCAUGUUAUAUUUCUCAGAACACUACUAGAAUCCUUAUUUGAAUCUU